GCAGAGUUCUAAGAGAUUUCAGACAAACUGAAGAAGGGACAACCAUACGAACCAAAAACUUGACUUCCAAGGUAUCUAGUGUUUCACAAUUGCACAAGCUUUCAGGAAAUAUGAACCGUCCUCUAGGUGCAAUCUGAUCCAGUAUGAAAAUUAAUGGAAGAUAUCUAAAGUUAUUUAAUCCAAAUCUAUUUUUCUAAAUAAUUUUGAUA
rnacentral:sRNA from 1 species